rnacentral:rRNA from 1 species
AUUGAACGCUGGCGGCAUGCCUUACACAUGCAAGUCGAACGGCAGCGGACCUUCGGGUGCCGGCGAGUGGCGAACGGGUGAGUAAUAUAUCGGAACGUACCUUUCAGUGGGGGAUAACGUAGCGAAAGUUACGCUAAUACCGCAUAUUCUGUGAGCAGGAAAGCAGGGGAUCGCAAGACCUUGCGCUGAUUGAGCGGCCGAUAUCAGAUUAGCUAGUUGGUGAGGUAAAGGCUCACCAAGGCGACGAUCUGUAGCGGGUCUGAGAGGAUGAUCCGCCACACGUGGGACUGAGACACGGCCCAGACUCCUACGGGAGGCAGCAGGUGGGGUAAUUUUGGACAAUGGGCGCAAGCCUGAUCCAGCCAUGCCGCGUGCGGGACGAAGGCCUU